AUAAGAUAUUUGAAUAAAAAGCAUUCCUGCUUAUUUCAUUAAAAUCUAGACCAAUUAUUAUACGAUUUGCGGUCGUAUAUUGGUAUGACGUUGGUGUCGUCGUCGUCCGAAGACACAUUGGUUUUCGUACUCUAACUUUAGUUUAAGUGAAUGGAUCUCUAUGAAAUUUUACCAUAAGGUUCAAUACCACAAAAGGAAGGUUAGGAUUGAUUUUGGGGGUUAUGGUACCAACAGUUAAGGAAUUAGGGGCCAAAAAGGGGCCAAAAAUAAGCAUUUUCUAGUUUCCAGACAAUAACUGUGGAACGGUGUAUGGUACUCUCUGAAAUUAUACUACAAGUUUCCAUACCACAAAGGGAUGGUUAGGAUUUGCUUUGGGGGG